rnacentral:rRNA from 1 species
UACAGAGGGUGCAAGCGUUGUUCGGAAUUAUUGGGCGUAAAGCGCGUGUAGGCGGCUUUGCAAGUCGGGUGUGAAAGCCCUCAGCUCAACUGAGGAAGUGCGCCCGAAACUGCAGAGCUUGAGUGCCGGAGAGGAUGGCGGAAUUCCCCAAGUAGAGGUGAAAUUCGUAGAUAUGGGGAGGAACACCGGUGGCGAAGGCGGCCAAUCUGGACGGUAACUGGACGCUGAGGAGCGAAAGUGUGGGGAGCGAACAGG